GGGAGCCCAGAGAGGCUGGCCCGUGGCCCCAAGUUCAUUUACAUUUAUUCUUGCAGAUUUACGAACCACUCAGAAGGGAAGGCAUUUAUUAAGCAAAUAUCCUCCUUGUGCCAACCUCCCAGGUCACCCCAGAACUCUCUUAGAUGCUCCUGAACAGCUGUCACGUCUAAGAGCCAUUAGCGCCACGCCACGGAUGACGACGCUUGGGUUCGUGGGCGCCACGAGGUUUGCCCCCCGCCAGGACGGUGGCGGAGCCAGAUGCAUAGUCAGAUUCUUCAUUGCUCGUGUAUGAACACACGGUUGAUUUUUGUAUACUGAACUUGUAUUCUACAACCUUGCCAAACUCUUUAUUAUGAUUAUGGCAGAGCCCAAGAUCAAAGGAGCCUGUGUUCCUGAACCGCCACGUGGGGAACGCCUGCUGAAUCCAUGGUCAAGUGCACGUGAGCAACGCACAGACACGUGCUGUGUCAGGCACCAAGGUCGGGGGCAUCUGCGUAGCAGCUGCCGUCACCUUAACUAGCACAGCCUCCUACGUAAAUGCCACUUCCUUUCUGGGUCGCUCCCUCCCUAAACGAGGAACCUUCCCUUGAUUCUCUUUCUUAUUUGUUUCCUUUUCAGCCUUACUAAAAACUGUAACUGUAGCUGCCUGUGUCAUUGGUAAAACGUCUUUCUUCUAA